rnacentral:rRNA from 1 species
UGGGGAAUAUUGGACAAUGGGGGCAACCCUGAUCCAGCCAUGCCGCGUGAGUGAUGAAGGCCCUAGGGUUGUAAAGCUCUUUUGUGCGGGAAGCGGGGCUAAUACCCUCGAGGAAGGACAUCACCCACAGAAGAAGCACCGGCUAACUCC